GCUGAUUCAAAAUUUUAAGUAUCAUAAUAAAUCACUUGAUUCCUUAAUGCAUAUUUGAUAUUGUGAUGGGUUUGACAAAAUCACACCGAGCCACCUUGAUUUUGCAGAUUUUGGCAAAUUGUUGGUGGCUCAUAGGUACUGACAAGUGGGCAGAGACAAACGACUAACAAUACUGAUAACCGAUGCUGGAGUUCAAGGAAUCAUGAUUUUGAUAAGAUAAAAUAGCAUAAAUUAAUGACCAUGAACUAUGUUUUGGAAGGCAUGUAAAAUAUAAGAAACCAUAUAAAAAUUAAUGUUUUGGAAGACACAAGACAUGUCCAAAAAACAAAAUUGAAUGCACUAAUUAUACAACUUCUACAUGUAAAGGAGUGGCAGUAGGAUUCUCCAAGAUUUGUCUUGUUUGCCUAGGAGACACCGACAUAAAUGACAUAACAAUAGGUUUAAGCUUCUCAGUAGUUUUGAUAAUAAUCAAAAACACAACUCGAUAUAGAACAAUCAUACCCAACAAUACUCCAAGAUCAACCCACUUUGAGUAACUCAUAUCUACAUGAAAUUUAUUUCUUAGAAUCUCUUCACCACUAAUGUAAUUGAGUGAUCCACCAAUUUCAUCUCUUUCAAAUUUUAGUCCUUCAAACUCAUUUUUAUAGGAUCCUUGAAAAGCAUACCUAUGAAAGGAAAUAUAGAACAUAGGGUAUCUCCAAAAUGGAUUAGGAAGAUCAUUUGGCAAUCUAAAGAAUCCACCAGCCAACAUCAUGAUUCCUUGAAUUCCAGCACCAGUUAUAAUUCCCAUUAGAAAAUCAGGAACAAUGCUUGCAACUAUCAUCAUAAGACUCUCCACUAACAUUAGACAAGAAAAUAGAGCACAGAUAAAAUAUAUGAAGUGCUCAAAUCCUUUUUGAAGACCUGGAGGGUAAUAUGCUAUAGCUCCAGGAAUGAGGGAAAUCAUCAACAAAUAUGGAAUAGCUGAAAGUGUGUUUCCAAUUACAUAUGCAGUAACACCAUAGUGUCCAUUUAGUCUUUCACGUUCAAAUACCUAUACAAAUUAACAGCAUAUAUAUGAUACCAUAAAAGACCGAAUAAAACAAUUAUCUAGUGACUACAUACAUACAUAUAUCAAGUAAUUAGAGAAACUGGUAAUCGAAAUUGUAAGACUCUCAAAUGACCAACGUUCACCGAGGGAUAAUUUUGAAUGAUUUUUUUCAUUUUUAAAAAUGUAUUUACCAAUUCACAAAAGUUAUGAAUUAUUCUGACCGAUGCUUACAACUUUGAGAAUCAAUUUGACUAUUCAUUCAAUAUAUAUAUUUGCAAAAAUUUUAAUAAAAAUAGUUUGAAACUUUGAAUUAUACCUUCAUAUCCUCCACAUAAGAAGGGAAUCCACCAAUGGUCAUGAAAGUUAGGAAUGAAAACACAAACAUAAGAAGUGAACCUCU
rnacentral:lncRNA from 1 species